ensembl:snoRNA
UUAGCACUUUCACAGGUCUUCCCUUAGUCAGUGGGGCCAGGCUUUGGUAGCUAGUCCUGAAAGAAAACCCUUGAUUACAUCCUUGCCCUGAUACUGUACCAGUGGUAGCUUUCACUCAAGGGAACAGAG